UAAGUGAGCCGCGAAUAGCUCAUUACAAUAGCCGUUGUUUCUUGGAUCCUCAAUUUACUUGGAUACCUGUGGUAAUUCUAGAGCUAAUACAUGCGACUAAGGGCCGAACUCACGUGACGCUUGCAUUUAUUAGAUCAAGACUAACCGGCUUCGGCCGUUAACUUGGUGACUCUGAAUAACUCAGCUGAUCGCACGGUCUAGUGCCGGCGACAUAUCUUUCAAGUGUCUACCUUAUCAACUGUCGAUGGUAGUUUAUGUGACUACCAUGGUUGUAACGGGUAACGGAGAAUCAGGGUUUGACUCCGGAGAGGGAGCCUGAGAAACGGCUACCACUUCUAAGGAAGGCAGCAGGCGCGCAAAUUACACAAUCUCAGCACGAGGAUGUAGUGACGAAACAUACCGAGGCGAUGCCCUUUCGGGUGUCGUCAUUGGAAUGAGUCGAAUCUAAAAAAUUCGGCAAGGAUCUAGUGGAGGGCAAGUCUGGUGCCAGCAGCCGCGGUAAUUCCAGCUCCGCAAGUGUAUAUCUAUGCUGUUGCGGUUAAAAAGCUCGUAGUUUGAUUCGCGUACUUAGCACGCAGUGUGGCCUUUCGGCUACUACUGUGAUGCGGUACAUUAUCGUCAGUUUGUCGUUGAUGCUCUUCAUUGGGUGUCAGCGGCGGCUGUCAAGUUUACUUUGAACAAAUUAAAGUGCUCAAUACAGGCGUUUCGCUUGUAUAGUUCUGCAUGGAAUAAUAGAAUAGGACUUACGUUCUAUUGUGUUGGUUUUCAGAACGAAAGUAAUGAUUAAGAGGGACAGACGGGGUCAUUCGUACUGCCACGUUAGAGGUGAAAUUCUUGGAUCGUGGCAAGACGAACUACUGCGAAA
rnacentral:rRNA from 1 species